GUAGCAUAAUAACUUGUCCUUUAAUUUAAGAAUAGAAUGAACGAAUAAACAUUAAGAGCCCUGUCUCAUUAUAAACCCUAAAAAUUUAUAUGGAGGUGAAAAAGCCCCCAUCAGAAAAAAAGACAAAAAGACCCUAGAAGCUUGUAAAUAAUAAAAUAAUUUAAUAGUUAUUUUUUGGCUGGGAGGGCAUAAAGUCUAUACCACACUUUAAAUUAAAAAGAAAUAUGUCUACUAACAUCAACCCCAAUAAGAAUAUCAGUAAGCUACUCUAGGGGUAACAGGCUACUGCUCCUUAUAAGUACCUAUUGAGAGGAGUGUUUGGCACCUCGGUGUUGGCUUACGAUUCUUAUUUUAUGCAAAACCAA
rnacentral:rRNA from 1 species